GGGAGAACCACGGUUCAGGAACCCUGCCAACUCGGCUGUCCGGUGGAAUAGACUUCGGCCAGGACCUGCUGAGACCGAAUAGCGAGCAGACCUGGCAACAGAAAUGGGCACGCAGUUUGGGCCUGGUUACAGGGAGCUCCAGAAGAGGGGGCGGGGCUAAAAGAACAAAUGACAGUCACACCUCAGAUCAUUUCUCCCCGUGCUGAGAUUGGCAGUGUUACACAGAGCCUCCUCCAUUGCAAAUCACUGCCUUUCCAACUGGUUCUCUCCGCCUGCUCAUCCUGGGCUGUUGGAAUUCCUUUUUGUCGUUCCUUUUCCUGACUUUCUGUUUUACCUUUCUUCACCGCUCUCUGCCUCUCUCUGUUGGGAAGAGAGGCUGCUGCGUUGGAGUAUCCCGGUCACAUGGAGCCUCCUCCCUGCUGGCCAGCCCCUGAGGGAGCCCUGCACUCUGGCCAGACACGGUUGUGGCAAAAUGAAAGUGUUGCUUAAGGGGCUGUGGCCAUCCCCAUACUGUCUCACUGCUUGUCCGUCUCUGUCUGAAACCUCACCUCUUUCUUCACGGUCACCUCUGGGUAGAGUGCACUUAACUGCCACAGGUCCUGCCCUUGCAGAGUAUGGUGUGAGCACCUCAGCGAUGCCUUUGCCCAGGUGAACCCCAUGAAGAAGGUACCAGCCAUGAAGGAUGGUGGCUUCACCUUGUGUGAGAGGUAACAGGGCCUGGGGUGUUUGUAAAGUUUUCCUGGAAUCCAGCCUGUUCUAACCCUCUGUGUUAUACACUAGGAAGCUGGCACUGGGAGGAGGGGAGGGGGCGUGGUUCGGUGGUUAAGAGCACUUAUUGCUCUUGUAGAGGACUUGGAUUUGGUCCCAGCAACCAGACAAGAUGGCUCCCAAACACUUAUAACUCCAAUUCUAGAGAUCCAUUGCCCUCUAGCAUCUUGGGCACAGGAAGUCAUAUCGGUAUACAUAUAUAUCUAGGGACUUAAAUGCCCUAAAGCAGUGGUUCUCACCCUUCCUCAUGCUGCUUGAUUUGUGUACCAGGGUGUGGUUGUUGAUUAAAACACCCCUGGGCCAGGGAGGGUGGGAAUCUUCUCUCAUCAUGGCCACCACCCUCUAGCCCAGCUGGUGUCAGAAAGGGCCCUGUGGCACCUGGGCCUCCCAUUGUCUCCAUUUCCAGGGUUACUGGGCCUCCCUUGGGUGAGUCUUUCCUAUGAAAUGAAGAUGUUUUAUUUCCCAGCUGUUCUCAAGAUGGUGAAAGGUCCCUCUUCAAGGAAGCCAACUCUUUUGCUCAAGUCUGCCUCUUCUGUCGCAUGAGUUACCUAUCCCAUAGCCAGGGGAACCUAGGGUAUAUGCUUUUGAAGUCAUCUCUGAUAGCUCACGAUGGAUAUAGCCCAACAAGAGACAUUACCAUUCUCCCUUCCUGUUAGCUCCUGCUAUCACGUAGAUAGUAUCUUCCCAAAACCAGACUAAUAAACUUGGACAGUGGGUAGACAGUGGGUUCCAGCCACAGCUCUGUGGGCUAUGGGACAAGGCAACCCUUUGCCUCUAGGGCAAAGGUUCUCAACAGGCAGAGGUCGUGACCCCUUUGUGGUUAGAACAACUCUUUUACAGAGAUUGCCUAAGACUUUUGGAGAUGUCAGAUAUUUACAUCAUGGUUCAUAACAGUAGCAAUGUCAGUUAUGAAGUAGCAAAGAAGCUAAUUUUAUGGUUGGGGAGGUCACCACAACAUGACCAUACAAAUUGUAUUAAAGGGUUGUAGCUCUAGGAAAGUUGAAGACCUUCCAAGGAGUUUAGGUUCCUAGUUCAUUUAUGUGCGUGUCUUCAUGAGUUCAUGCUAUCCUGGGUUCUUUAAUUUGCAGAGAGUCGUACCUUAACAAGUAUAGCCAGGAGCAUCUUCCAACCUCUGUUGCCAUCUUCACCCUAGGGAGGUUUGUGGCUCUUAAGAAUCUGCAACUCUCUCUCUCUCUCUCUUUUUUUUUCUUUUUUCUUUUUUUCGGAGCUGGGGACCGAACCCAGGGGCAAGUGCUCUACCACUGAGCUAAAUCCCCAACCCCAAGAAUCUGCAACUCUCUUAAAUUAUGUCUUGGACACUUAGCUACAGUACAAAGAGUUUGUCCUCCAUGGAAAGCUGAGGUAUUCAGUUAGGCUGUGGGUAUAGGCCUAUCCGUUGUAGACAAGGCCUUACUAGAUAGCUUAGCCUAGUAAGCUUCUGCCUGCCUGACUCUUCCUCUUGGGUGCUGUGAUUUUAAGUUGUUGUCAGACAAAACUUUUCCUGAGUAAUCUUUGUUGUUUACUCAGAGAAGGAGAGGCCUAGUGAAUCUGCUCAAUUUCAGGGACUUCCUGGGGCUAUUUUGUGUUGUACUUUUUUUAAAAUUAUGCUUGGGGGGGGG
rnacentral:lncRNA from 14 species